CAACUUAUAGCUUAAUUAAAGCAUCUUGCUUACACCAAGAAAAUACUAGUUAGAUCCUAGUUAAAUUGA
rnacentral:tRNA from 1 species